UCACACACAUUGAUUUAAAUUGCCUUUGUCUUCCAAUUUAUAAGUGGACGGGAAGCUUUUUGAGGAUUGCAUUUUAUAUUUCUAGGUCUCCUCAUAUUUUAUGGGACUCAAGGGGCCCUUGGAGAUCAUUCUGCCUAUAUCCAUGAGAAGACCAGAAUUUUGAGCAGUGGGCUCUUAACUGACUGUGGAGAAGAGCUUUAGUUCUGGAGUAAGAUCCGUUCCACUGGAAUUCUAGCUUUUACACUGACUGUGAGACUGAGAGCCAUGGUCCUUCUCUAAAGAAAGUAUGUGACUCCAGACUGAGUCUCAGAAGCUCUGGGACUGCUGUUCUGAAGAUCCAGACACCUCUGUCCUCAUGCCUGCCAGAGUUUUAGCAAUAACUACUGUGAAUUUGCAUGUGUCCAGUUCAUUG
rnacentral:lncRNA from 1 species